AUGAACAACUUCACUAAUCUUAAUCCACCUUUGUCAUUGCAACAUCAAUCAUCUUCCUACAACAAACACAUCAACUCUGUAAAUCGCGCAUUCUCAUCUUCAACACCUUCAAUCAUCACGACACCGAUUCAACAACAAAGAUCACAACAUUACGAUGCCAGAAUCCGAGAUGAAAACGGAAGAAGAAGUUUAAAAAUAAGAUUUAGAGGAAUCCAAUAG